AAUAGAUACCCCGGUAGUCCACGCCCUAAACGAUGUGUGCUCGCUAUCGGAUAGUUUACUAUUCGGUGGCCAAGCUAACGCGAUAAGCACACCGCCUGGGGAUUACGAUCGCAAGAUUAAAACUCAAAGGAAUUGACGGGGACCCGCACAAGCGGUGGAGCAUGUUGUUUAAUUCGAUGAUACACGAGAAACCUUACCAGCCCUUGACAUACAUAUUAUACUUUCUGGAAACAGAUCGUUUCGGUUCGGCCGGGUAUGUACAGGUGUUGCAUGGCCGUCGUCAGCUCGUGUCGUGAGAUGUUGGGUUAAGUCCCGCAACGAGCGCAACCCCUAUUGUUAGUUGCCAGCAUUAAGUUGGGCACUCUAACGAGACUGCCGAUGAUAAAUCGGAGGAAGGUGGGGAUGACGUCAGGUCAUCAUGGCCCUUACGGGCUGGACUACAAACGUGCUACAAUGGCGACUACAAAGGGCAGCAAUCCCGCGAGGGGGAGCAAAUCCUAAAAAGUCGUCUCAGUUCAGAUUGCAGGCUGCAACG
rnacentral:rRNA from 1 species